CUUCAUGGGAGACCUUCAAAAAGUGGGUGGGCACUUUUGUGCUCUACAGCACCAGUGUACUCUUCAUAUUAACACAGCAUGAAAGAAGCUAACACCAACCAGCAGCAGUUUAGGUGCUUUUAAUGUCAGGCUUGUUAGUUUGUGGUUUAAGUGCAAAUUUCAUUUCAUAACUUUUGUUAACUUAUUUAAAGCUGAAUGAAAAGCUGAUGACUUUCCCUGCUGGCUUCACUCUAUCUCUCAACUCUUGCAGCCUCAGUGAGCUGAGCAUCGCUACACAUGAAUCAGGUUUCCUCCUCCUGUAGUAUCACCAGGUGCAGAUGCUGGAUCUGGAUCUGACAUCAGGGUGAAAUCCUCUCUGGGGAAGCAGCUGAACCGUGACUGCACUGACAGCCAGCAAGCUAGCCAAUAAGAUAUACUUUCAAAUGUCUACCCGAGGUCACACUAUAAGCUGCGUGAGCUUUGGCUCUGUCCAUGUUGUGCUGUCUUACCUGGUCGUACUCUGUCCUGCCUCCCUGUGGCGACAUGGCCAGAGGGUAGGGGCUCAUCAGACCCCUGUGCCCCCCGUAGGCCUCGCCAAAUGCAGGCUCCAUCCCAUUCAUACCCGGCUGGAAAGGAGAAGAAGCAGAAGGAGGAGAUUUUCAGUGGAGAACCCUGACCUCUCACCCCAGUCGUUUCAUGCUUGGCUGCAGGUCACUGCAGUGCAUGCUGAUGGGAACUCUCUGAUGAAGCCAAUAGAACCACAUCUACUGCAAACUGAAGAAAUGCUUGUCUGAGCUUCAAAAAGCAGAUGCCCUCCUCAGCCUGGCUACGCUUUGAGACGCUGUCCAUAAACGUCAAAAACAGGAUCAGAGACAAGCGGUAACUCAACAUCCAUUAAAAACAUGGUGUACUUUAUACCAAGGAUGCAGACACAGCUCUCACUCCAUUCUUGUCAGCUUUCUCUGUGCCUAUAAAGCACCAGUAGACUGGAUGGUCAGAUUCUCUUCUAUUCCCUUCAGAAGUCCUGCAAGGGUGAAGAUCUGGGCACCUGUUUUAGAACCAGGCUGGAAUCUGCAUUGCUUGUCCUAAAUCUGAGGUUCCACCAUUAGCUGGGGCCUCCUUUCCAGCACCCUAAAAGAAAUUUUGCCGGGAGCCUGAGCAGUACGAUAACUGGUGCACUCACUCAGGAUCUCCUUUUUGAAAAUUGCAAUCACCACUCCAGUCUGCCACUCCACAGGCACAAUGCCAGAUUACAACCUAACAUUAAAGAGGUGUGUCAACUAAAACAUUUCCAUGUCUAGAGGCUUUAGCAUCUGAGGGCAAAUCUCAUCCGAACCUGGUGCUUCCUGUCAUAGCUCUUCUCAUCUACCCUGUCAGUGACAUCUGCCAGUUGUGGCCAAUAUGGCCCUCCUCCAUCUGUUCAGGCUCCUUUUAACAUUUCUCCUAUAAAGACAUUAAUUAAUAAGUUCUCUAGUUCAACAGCUCUUCAGUUUUCUUUGUUGUUGUUGUUUUUUUUUAGCAAUGCACUUUCUUUUGAUAGAUUUAGGUGAGUGUCUAUAAAUCACGCAUGCUUAUCUUACUGUUCUGUUGUGACAAUCUUGCAUGAGAGAGUCAACCUUGUCCUUGAUUACCAAGGUAACCUAAACUAGCUCAGCCCCACAGCAUAGACCUCCUACCUUUUAGAGAUAGUGGAAAAUAUCAACAGAGAUGCUGCAAAAAGGUCAACACCAGGGACGUUCAAUGAUAUUUUUAUUCUUAGCGCAAAUACACAGCGAUACAGUAGAUCUACAAUUCUGCUACAACUUCCCACCAGUGUUCUUGGUAUUCACAGAAUUUUUUUUUUUAAAAAGUCACAUUUUAAAAAUGAAUCAGUCUGUUUCUUAUUAUGUCCUAUCAAUAAGAUUAAAAUUCUAUAAGAGAAAAAGGAUAAGUUUAAUUUGCAAAACAUUGAGCAAAACAUUCAGUACUUACUUGGCGUAUGAUCUCACUUGAAAUAUCAUUAAAAUCACAUUCCUAACAAUGUGCAAAUCCAAAAAAACCUGACUGUAUGGGCAUGGGCAUGGAAUUUCUUUGGUUAGUGCUAGUUUGGGAUGGGACUUUUGUAUCCUUUGAAUGCUUGGUUAGAUCAUGACGUGGCAAAUUUAGAAGCUGGGGCAUCACUUUGGGCUCUUUGUAUUUUGGAAUCAUUCGUGAACAGUUUUGCAUGGGGGUGUGGCUUAGUGUGCAACAAAGUGUUGUCAGUUUAACGAUUUCUUCAACUUUGCCUGUCAGUGUUUGUAUGUUUGACCAGCCAGUUCAUGCCUGUAUAUUCUCAGCGUGUCUGCAAACGUUUCUUCCACAACUGAAAGCCGACGCUCGGAUGGAACAUAAAUAACUUGAAGAGUGCGAUUGUAUCCUAUGAGACAUAGUUCUUUAUUAAGUAUUUCACAUACAGUGCCACUCACAUACAAGCAUUUACUUCACAGUAAUACAAGGUUACAUACAGGGUCUCAAAUCCAUAAACAAUCCGAUUUGUGAUUUAUUGAAUGUUUGUUACCAUGGUGACUCUUAACACACUUAAAAAAAAAUAAAUCUAUCCUCGUCUAUGCUGCCAGGAACAUUUAACAAAUGAACAGUAGCCAGUUAUCAAAAAUGAAAAGAAAAAAAAGUCACGAGAAAAAGAAAUUGAAAAUUUGAAUGUUUUUCUUGAGCAUUCAUACUCUGCACAUUUUACACGGGUUAUCUGACGUCUCAGCGCUUCCCUCCUUUAGGUCGAUUAGCUUGGAUAUGGGAGAAUAAUGACGUUUGGUGUCCAGUGACGGACUGACUCUGCAGGCAAACUGUGGUUUGUUUUAUGAUGAGUGGGAUUGAUACUGUAAUGUAAUGGCUUUGUUUCCUAUGGUAAUCCUAACCAAAGGAAACAAACCCAAAACAAAACUGUACGGUCAGAACGUCUAACAGAAUUCAGAUGUCAGGACAAAACCAGAGACAUUCAACUGGCACAAAGACAAAACAGUGCCAAAGUCACAAGACAUGGUUGUUUUGACAAAAGACUGCAUAUAAAAGAUGGAGGCGGUUUAGGUCUGAAAGUAAAGCCAGCGUAGAAAUGCCUUGAACCUGCAUUCUUUCAUCUUGUAAGUUUAUGGUGUCAAUUAGUAGUUUCAAGCUUUUAAAAAAGUACAGCAUGUUCACCUUGCAAAUUAUAGUCCAAUUUAGAGUGAAAUAGAUGAAAAGGCUGACUAAGCUGCACAGCAUGGACACCUUUUCAUUGGCUAGGGGUUAUUUUUUUGCGUAUUUAAAAAAAAGUGUAUGGGCUCAGUCACUCAU